GCUCGCGUAGUGUAGCGGCCUAACACGUCUCCCUGUCACGGAGAAGAUCACGGGUUCAAAUCCCGUCGCGAGCG
rnacentral:tRNA from 1 species